rnacentral:rRNA from 1 species
CAAGUCGGACGCGAAAGGGGGCAACCCCCGGUAGCGUGGCAGACGGGUGAGUAACACGUGGGUAACCUGCCCGGAGGUGGGGGAUAACCCUUCGAAAGGAGGGCUAAUACCGCAUGACAUCGCGAGGACUUUGGACCUUGCGAUCAAAGCUGGCCUCUAUUUAUAAGCUAGCGCCACCGGAGGGGCCCGCGCCCCAUUAGCUAGUUGGUGAGGUAACGGCUCACCAAGGCGACGAUGGGUAGCCGGCCUGAGAGGGCGACCGGCCACACUGGAACUGGGACACGGUCCAGACUCCUACGGGAGGCAGCAGUGAGGAAUCUUGCGCAAUGGGCGAAAGCCUGACGCUGCGACGCCGCGUGGAGGACGAAGGUCUUCGGAUUGUAAACUCCUGUCGAGAGGGACGAAUGCCGUGAGGGUGAACAAUCCUCACGGUUGACGGUACCUCCAGAGGAAGCCCCGGCUAACUCCGUGCCAGCAGCCGCGGUAAUACGGAGGGGGCCAGCGUUGUUCGGAAUCAUUGGGCGUAAAGGGCGCGUAGGCGGCCGACCAAGUCGGAGGUGAAAUCCCUCGGCUCAACUGAGGAACUGCCUCCGAUACUGUUCGGCUUGAGUCCCGGAGAGGGUAGUGGAAUUCCGAGUGUAGCGGUGAAAUGCGUAGAGACUCGGAAGAACACCAGUGGCGAAGGCGGCUACCUGGACGGGUACUGACGCUGAAGCGCGAAAGCUAGGGGAGCAAACAGGAUUAGAUACCCUGGUAGUCCUAGCUGUAAACGAUGGGCACUUGGUGUUGCGGGUAUCGACCCCUGCAGUGCCGAAGCUAACGCAUUAAGUG